ncrna:unclassified sequences IMES-2 RNA motif
ACAUGAAUUAAGAGGCAACUCUUAACUGACCAGCUAGGGAAAAACCGAGAGGUUCAAGCCUAGAGGGCAGAAAGCUCCGCAGAGUAGCGCUAAAAUUGUGGAGUGAAAGGCAUGGCGGUAGCGCAUACAACGACGUGCCAA